GUGAGACCCUGCCUCAAAUUUUCAAAAAAGGAGCUGGGUAUGUAGUUCAGUGGUAGAGCGCCCCUGAGCGCAAACCCUGGUACCAAACCAAAAGAAGGAAAUAAGUCUAGACAAAACCACAUGGGGUGAAAGAAGGAGCCCCGAGUGCUCAUCCAGAAGAGAUCUGGAUGACUCCCUUCUUACCCUAGGUUUCGGGUGUAUUUACCAAUGGCUCCUGUGAGUUGUGAGGUCCUGGGGUGGGCCUCAGAGGGCCUGCUGCUGACCUCCCCGUUCAGAGCCUGGCAGGAUCCACUCCACCUGGAUGGAGUGGCCUGGCCAACAUCGUGAGAUCUCUUGAGGUUUACGUGCCCUGUCACAGCACGCCGUUAUUCAGGAGAGGAACUGGCAGGACACAUUUCAUCCCUGAGUCCUGCCUGCUGAUCAGCAGCUUGAAGAUGGAACAUACGUGCAUGCCUACGGGGACUCUCAUUCCCGCUCAGCCCUGGCCCCUGAGCUGCUGAAGCCUUUGGCCCUCUGAGAUAGAGAACUGCAAAUUUUAAGGUGCACUGCUGCUACAGUCAGCUCCAGAAAGGCCCUGCACCUGGGGUUGAUGGGUAAAAAGGAGCCCCCACUCCUCCAGCCUGACUUUUCAGGAGGCUGCUGCUGCGCCCGCCCUCCCAAACCUGUCCUAGGCUCCCUGGUGCCAUGAUCUCUUUCAAGAUCCACAUCUCUUUUAAGGAGAGCCACUUUAAUGGAGAUAUGAAUACAUCCCAGGAAAGACAAGCCCCUUCCAGAAGAUGGGCAAAGGUGAGAGGUGAUCAG
rnacentral:lncRNA from 1 species